rnacentral:misc_RNA from 1 species
CCGAGUUUACAACCCCCAAACCCAAUGUGAACGUUACCAAACUGUUGCCUCGGCGGGGUCACGCCCCGGGUGCGUAAAAGCCCCGGAACCAGGCGCCCGCCGGAGGAACCAACCAAACUCUUUCUGUAGUCCCCUCGCGGACGUAUUUCUUACAGCUCUGAGCAAAAAUUCAAAAUGAAUCA